rnacentral:rRNA from 1 species
UACGUAGGGGGGCUAGCGUUGUCCGGAUUUAUUGGGCGUAAAGGGCGUGUAGGUGGUUGCGUAAGUCUGGCGUGAAAUAUCUCGGCUUAACCGAGGCAGGUCGUCGGAUACUGCAGGGCUAGAGUCCGGAAGAGGCGAGUGGAAUUCCUGGUGUAGCGGUGAAAUGCGCAGAUAUCAGGAGGAACACCUAUUGCGAAGGCAGCUCGCUGGGACGUAACUGACGCUGAGACGCGAAAGCGUGGGGAGCAAACAGG